rnacentral:rRNA from 1 species
UACGUAGGAGACGAGCGUUGUCCGGAGUUACUGGGCGUAAAGGGUGCGCAGGCGGCCUGGCGCGUCGCGAGUGAAAUCUCCUGGCUCAACUGGGAGGGUGGUCGCGAGACGGCUGGGCUUGAGGCUCGGUGAGGGGCGUGGAAUUCCGGGUGGAGCGGUGAAAUGCGUAGAGAUCCGGAGGAACACCGACGGCGUAGGCAGCGCCCUGAGACGAGACCUGACGCUCAGGCACGAAAGCGCGGGGAGCGAACAGGAU